rnacentral:lncRNA from 1 species
GAGGGAAUCAAUAUCAUCAUUCCCUUGUUUAUAUUGUAUGCUUUACAGCUGAAUUGAUACUUUUUUUUUAAAGAUUCUGAUCUGGAAACUGAUCUCCAGGAAUUGGCUGAGGCAAAGACUGGGGGUAAAGGUGGAGAUGGUCCUGAUGUCAGGGAGGAGUUUGCAUCAAAUACAGAGCCUGUUGAAAUGCCAGAAGCAGGGAGAAAUAUGAGUGGGCAAGUGGCAUCAACAUUGGGA